CCUACGGGAGGCAGCAGUGAGGAAUAUUGGUCAAUGGACGCAAGUCUGAACCAGCCAAGUAGCGUGCAGGAUGACGGCCCUCCGGGUUGUAAACUGCUUUUAGUUGGGAAUAAAAGGGGGCUCGUGAGCCCCGUAUUGUAUGUACCAUCAGAAAAAGGACCGGCUAAUUCCGUGCCAGAAGCCGCGGUAAUAAGGAAGGUCCGGGCGUUAUCCGGAUUGAUUGGGUGUAAAGGGAGCGUAGGCCGGCUUUGAAGUCAGCUGUGAAAGUCCGCGGCUCAACCGUGGAAUUGCAGUUGAAACUGGAGGCCUUGAGUGCACACAGGGAUGCCGGAAUUCAUGGUGUAGCGGUGAGAUGCUUAGAUAUCAUGAAGAACUCCGAUCGCGAAGGCAAGUGUCCGGGGUGCAACUGACGCUGAGGCUCGAAAGUGCGGGUAUCAAACAGGAUUAGAUACCCGGGUAGUC
rnacentral:rRNA from 1 species